rnacentral:rRNA from 1 species
UGGGGAAUCUUGGACAAUGGGGGAAACCCUGAUCCAGCCAUGCCGCGUGAAUGAUGAAGGCCUUCGGGUUGUAAAGUUCUUUCGCACGCGACGAUAAUGACGGUAGCGUGAGAAGAAGCUCCGGCUAACUUCGUGCCAGCAGCCGCGGUAAUACGAAGGGGGCUAGCGUUGUUCGGAAUUACUGGGCGUAAAGCGCGCGCAGGCGGCUAUCCAAGUCAGAGGUGAAAGCCCGGAGCUUAACUCCGGAAUUGCCCCUGAGACUGAAUGGCUUCGAGUACGGGAGAGGUGAGUGGAAUUCCGAGUGUAGAGGUGAAAUUCGUAGAUAUUCGGAAGAACACCGGUGGCGAAGGCGGCUCACUGGCCCGUUACUGACGCUCAGGCGCGACAGCGUGGGGAUCAAACAGGAUUAGAUACCCCUGUAGUCC